CUAAUAUGGUUAUAAAGCAAUGUAGAAGUGCAGCUUUCUCAUUUCAAACUCAUACUAAACAAUGCCAUUGAGUGCAACUUGGGGAAACUAACAAAAAGGAAAAUGUCUAUCAGUUUUGCUUUUGUUCUUUAAAGAUCCUGUUCAAGGAAAGAAUGAGCCAGCAGGUUCACCAAAAGGCUAUUUACUGGAACAUAUUAUGCAGGGUGGAUUUUUUCUGGCCAGUUGCCAUUCUUUUUUUUUAUUUUAAAUGUUGCUUGUGGUAGGCAUUUAUUAAACAUUGUCAUUUAGCCAAGCAAAGAACAUUUGCUUUACGGACAUGUUGCAUAGUUUUUGUAUUUUCUUCAUGAUAUUUUUCCCCCUCUAAAAAAUGAACUAUCAUUGCUACCUAGUACAGAUUGGCAAAAAUCAAAAUGGAGAUGUGAACUCCCUCGUCUCUGAAUUUUGGUGAAGUCUGCAUGCACAGUAGCAUCCAGACUUUGCAGUCUGGUCUCAUUUCUCCUUUUUUAGGAAUAUUUGUUCAUAUUUUUUUGUUUCUUCUGUAAUCUGAUUGGUUACUUUAAAUUCUGUCAAUUUUACAGGUUAGACAAGCCACAGCUUCUGUUUUUAUGUAUGAACACAUAUGAGGAUAGAAGAAACCUAAAGUCCCUGCUGCUCUGAGCCAGGCAAGAUGGCUUUGGUGCCACACAUCUGGACAACACCAUUCCACUUACUCAGGUCUGCCAAAGAAUCUGGUUAAGGCUCCUCUCAAAAGAAACUUUCCAGAAUUCAUUAGGGGAGUAACAUCACAGCCACAGUGGAACAUGGAGCUACCAGUCACCAUAUGUGGAGCAUGGAGUGCAGUAAUGCAAAGGAAGAAUGGCCCUAUGGUUAAGGCACUUUCUUGGUGCUCAGGAGACCUGGGUUCAUUUCCUGGCCCUACCAUAGGUUUCCUGUAUGACUUUGGGAAAAUCAGUAAGGGUGGAAUGCUCAAAAGGAAUAAGGCUUUCCACUGAUUCCAAGGGAAGGUACGUGCUUGAUCCCUUUGGGCAUUCCAACCUUAGUCUGUCUUUGCCUCACUUGUAAAAUGGGUAUAAUAGAACUUCCUGACCUCAAAAGGGUAUUGUGAGGAUAUAUACAUUUAAAAUUCUGAAGUACUCAGAUAUUAUAGUAAUAGGGGACAUAUAAGUACCAUAGAUAGACUGAUUGUAGGGGGUAGAUUAAUGCAAUUUUUUACUACAUUAUAUGGAAUGAUUUUGUAAAUUUGAAAACAAUAAUUAUCUCAAAGGGAAUGAAAUUAUAAUAUUAAUAUUGCAAAACCAAGCUAUGCAGUACUGAAAAAAAAUGCCAUCUCCCCAAUCCCUGAAAGUUGUCUGAAUGUUUAACUGGGUUUUGAUGAAAGAUAUGUGUCAAGCAUAGUGAAUGGAGCAGGAACCAGCCACCCAUGACUUCAGAGGACUUGAAAAGACAAGGUAUAUUGAAAAACGAUGAUAUGCAUUCUUAACUUUAUAGAAGCCCAAAUAUGGUUUAAAUUUUCAGUAAAGAUGUGGGCCAUUUCUUGCUUUCUCCAAGAGAGCAAACUCACCUUUUGUUCCGAUUCAGUUGAUCUCCAUGCCUAUUCAUUCUUCCUGAUUCUAUGUUUAACCUUCUUUCUGACCCUUUGUGGUGUACUAGGUGUCCAGAUUCCUUAGGUGGCUUUGAAAAUCCUUGCCUAGACUCUAUCAAAAAUUAAAAUGUCUCAGUGAAUCGUUUUCCUGCAAGCAGAUGUUUAUGACAUAUCAAAUGAUUGCUGCCGAUUUGAUUAUUUAGUAU